rnacentral:rRNA from 1 species
GAAUUCGCCCUUAGAGUUUGAUCCUGGCUCAGGACGAACGCUGGCGGCGCGCCUAACACAUGCAAGUCGAACGAGCGAGAGAGAGUUUACUUUUUCGAGCGAGUGGCGAACGGGUGAGUAACGCGUGAGGAACCUGCCUCAAAGAGGGGGACAACAGUUGGAAACGACUGCUAAUACCGCAUAAGCCCACGACCCGGCAUCGGGUAGAGGGAAAAGGAGCAAUCCGCUUUGAGAUGGCCUCGCGUCCGAUUAGCUAGUUGGUGAGGUAAUGGCCCACCAAGGCGACGAUCGGUAGCCGGACUGAGAGGUUGAACGGCCACAUUGGGACUGAGACACGGCCCAGACUCCUACGGGAGGCAGCAGUGGGGAAUAUUGCACAAUGGGGGAAACCCUGAUGCAGCGACGCCGCGUGGAGGAAGAAGGUCUUCGGAUUGUAAACUCCUGUUGUUGAGGAAGAUAAUGACGGUACUCAACAAGGAAGUGACGGCUAACUACGUGCCAGCAGCCGCGGUAAAACGUAGGUCACAAGCGUUGUCCGGAAUUACUGGGUGUAAAGGGAGCGCAGGCGGGAGGACAAGUUGGAAGUGAAAUCCAUGGGCUCAACCCAUGAACUGCUUUCAAAACUGUUUUUCUUGAGUAGUGCAGAGGUAGGCGGAAUUCCCGGUGUAGCGGUGGAAUGCGUAGAUAUCGGGAGGAACACCAGUGGCGAAGGCGGCCUACUGGGCACCAACUGACGCUGAGGCUCGAAAGUGUGGGUAGCAAACAGGAUUAGAUACCCUGGUAGUCCACACUGUAAACGAUGAUUACUAGGUGUUGGGAGGAUUGACCCCUUCAAGUGCCGCAGUUAACACAAUAAGUAAUCCACCUGGGGAGUACGACCGCAAGGUUUGAAACUCAAAGGGAAUUGACGGGGGCCCGCACAAGCAGUGGAGUAUGUGGUUUAAUUCGACGCAACGCGAAGAACCUUACCAAGUCUUGACAUCCUGCGACGCACAUAGAAAUAUGUUUUUCCUUCGGGACGCAGAGACAGGUGGUGCAUGGUUGUCGUCAGCUCGUGUCGUGAGAUGUUGGGUUAAGUCCCGCAACGAGCGCAACCCUUAUGGUCAGUUACUACGCAAGAGGACUCUGGCCAGACUGCCGUUGACAAAACGGAGGAAGGUGGGGAUGACGUCAAAUCAUCAUGCCCUUUAUGACUUGGGCUACACACGUACUACAAUGGCGUUAAACAAAGAGAAGCAAGACCGCGAGGUGGAGCAAAACUCAGAAACAACGUCCCAGUUCGGACUGCAGGCUGCAACUCGCCUGCACGAAGUCGGAAUUGCUAGUAAUCGCAGAUCAGCAUGCUGCGGUGAAUACGUUCCCGGGCCUUGCACACACCGCCCGUCA